UACGGAGGUAGCUAGCGUUGUUCGGAAUUACUGGGCGUAAAGCGCACGUAGGCGGCUUUUUAAGUCAGGGGUGAAAUCCCGGGGCUCAACCCCGGAACUGCCUUUGAAACUGGGAAGCUAGAAUCCUGGAGAGGCGAGUGGAAUUCCGAGUGUAGAGGUGAAAUUCGUAGAUAUUCGGAAGAACACAAGUGGCGAAGGCGACUCGCUGGACAGGUAUUGACGCUGAGGUGCGAAAGCGUGGGGAGCAAACAGG
rnacentral:rRNA from 1 species